AAAUUUCGUUUUUUUUUUUUUUUCGAAUCGGAAGUGUUGAAACAUGGUCCGUAAUUAUAUAAAAAAAAACCUUAGGGUUAAUUACUCAUUAGAUGAUUUGAAAAAAGCUGUUGAUGCAGUUCAGUGUCAAGGAGCCAAUAACCUAACCAAUAAGCAAAAGUAAAUCAAAGUAUGUACCAAUAGAUGAUGAGUCUGAUGAUAGUUCUCUCUUUGAAGAAGAUAAUAAUAUUCCAGCUAAAAAAA